rnacentral:tRNA from 1 species
GGGCGAUUAGCUCAGCGGCUAGAGCACUUGCUUCACACGCAAGGGGUCACUGGUUCAAGUCCAGUAUCGCCCACCA